UACGUAGGGACCAAGCGUUGUCCGGAAUUAUUGGGCGUAAAGAGCUCGUAGGCGGUCUGUUACGUCUGCUGUGAAAACCCAGGGCUUAACCCUGGGCUUGCAGUGGAUACGGGCAGACUAGAGGCAGGUAGGGGAGAAUGGAAUUCCCGGUGUAGCGGUGAAAUGCGCAGAUAUCGGGAGGAACACCGGUGGCGAAGGCGGUCCACUGGGCCGUGACCUGACGCUGAGGUGCGAAAGCGUGGGGAGCAAACAGG
rnacentral:rRNA from 1 species